AAUAAACCAAGGCUUGAACAUAACUUUUCGAAUAUUAUCCAUGUUAUCAAAGGGAAUAACAUUGAAAAAACUUGUGAAAUGUAAAUUUAGAAAAAUAAAGAAUCACAACCUUUUUUUUUUUUUUUUUUUUGAAAGAAGAAAGAAUCACAAGCUUAGUUAGCUAGGAUUGAAGCUAAGAUUAUAAAUGGGAGAUUUAGAUUGCGGCGAUUGCAACUGCGACGGCUGCGAUUGCGAUUGUUGCUGUUGUAUAGAGGACUGCUGUUCGGGUGAUCAAAACAAUUUGAUUCUAUGUUGUUGCUUGUUUCCAUCCUCUAAUGGUAAUGCAAGAAGAACAAAUAGUGGAGCAUCUACAAAUACACAUACAGACUGCUCGCUAUGUUGUUGCUGUUGCACAUCCCCUUCUCCAACAACUAACAGAUCAGAGGAAAAACGAUCUAAGUGUUUUUGUUCACGCCUUUUGGUUGUGGUGCAUUGGGAGUAGUAGUAAGCCUUCUCCACCUUCUUCCCCGUCUCGAGGGCAAUCAUCGUCGGAUAUUCCAUCUCCUGUUCCGGUGGAUAACACGGGACGUCGCACCGGAAAGCAAGCUAGCUGGGAAGGGGUUACUAGUUCCCGGAAUGAUUACAAGAUGGAUGGAAGAUGGUCUAGGCCGGAACGAUAUGGUGAUCAUUAUCAAAGGCAAUUCCAAUCAUAGUGUUGUUGUGUGCAUAUAUAUAAUCUCGUUUUUACUCUUG